CGAAAUAGGCGAAAUCGGACCUGCUUUUUUUUUGAGGAGAAUAUUAAAAAAGAUUUUUAACGAGCGUUUGAAAAGUUGCUCAGUAAAAAGAAAAAAACCUUGAUUGGAGAUGCGGGGGAUCGAACCCCGUGCCUCUCGCAUGCAAAGCGAGCGCUCUACCAUUUGAGCUACAUCCCCACAUAUUUUAAAAUCUCUAACAUUACCAUUACAUAUUUUAGAAUUUUGUAAAACACCAACUCCAGUCUCCAGUUCUCCACCCUUGUUUUCCUUGUUCCCGCCCACACGAAAAACAGCAAUCAGAAACUGAGCAAUACCAAAAACAAAUUCAUGAAAUCAUCAAUGGAUGUCCGACAAUGGUUAUCUACCGAUGAAACAGCAGAAACCUUCAUUUCUAGGGUUUCCACUUCCCGCCCUCCUCUUCUACUUCCGCCGCUUCACCGCUUUCCUCUCCACUCCGGCAAUGUCGUCGAAAUCGUCGGCCCUUCUUCUUCCGCUAAAACUCACAUUCUUCUUCAGGUUGCUGUUCAUUGCAUUUUGCCUAAAGAGUGGAAUGGCGUGAGUUAUGGAGGGCUUGAGAAAUCGGUUAUGUUUGUUGAUUUGGAUUGUCGCUUUGAUGUUUUACGUCUUCGUCACCUUCUUCAGCUUCGGAUUUUUAGUGUUCAUCAAUUAAGUAGGGGAGUGAAGAAUGAGCUGCAUGAUGCUAGAGAUUGGACAUGUGAUCAGGAACUAAUCAACAAAUGCUUGGAGCGCUUCCUAUAUGUUCGUUGUUAUGAUAGUUUAGAAUUUCUUGCUAUGCUGAAGACUUUAAGCUAUCAACUUCAAACAAAAAGGCAGGAGCUUGCUUCAAAAGUCUAUUUCAUGAUGAUUGACAGUAUAGGAGCUUACUAUUGGGUCGACCGUGCUUCAACAUCCGUGCCUCUUGGGUCAAACAAUAGGAAAAUCUUCUCACUUCAAAGUGUAAUAGAAGCUGUGGUUCGUGAGAUCCAAAACUUUCUGCAAGUGCAACCUAUGCUUGUUUUAGCUACUAAAGCUACCAUAUUUGGUGACAAGUCUGCAACCAAUGACAUAAAAAGGACAUUUAGGAAAUGGUCCUCAGAGGAUGCGUCAGGUCACCACACUACGGAAAGCAGUCCUGAGAAAGUUCAUCGUGAAUAUAUGCCUUCUGCUUGGCAGCAGUCCUUUGUUACACAUAGGAUAUCUGUUCGACCAUCAAGUCCAGAAAGCUGUGCUACUAAUUGUCUGAAUAAUACAACUGAUGAGCAAGUUUACUUAGCGCAAUGGUUGCUGCCGUCGCUAGGCUUCAAAGAUAAGUUUGUGAUUAACGAUGUAAGGAGUAGAAUAUUGUGCUGUACAAGACUUAAUAUAAGCUUCUUUCUUGGGUCAAUCUAUUUACAGGAAUCAAUAUGUAAUCCAUGCUACCUCAUGCUUGUUAAUUUUAUACCAAGUCGUCUGUGCUCACCCACUAAGAGGCUGAAGUAGCCAUGGCUUUCCUGGUCUUUCUUCCUAACCAACUGCCAGAAAAAUAUAUUCGUCUUUGUAUUUAAUUUGAUUAUAGACAUAGAAUAAUCCAACAGUAUAAUUUGCCUAUUGUCUACUGUAACGCACCAACCACAAAAAUUCCUAUAUUUUUCUAAAAUAAUACUAUUUCUCCACAGGAAGAGGAAAUUUCUGAUUGUUUUGAGUGGACAAGUGACUUGAACUUUUUUCCCACAGAAAACUCUUACCUUUUUCCCCUCAAAAAGAUAAUUUAAGAAAAGGAAAAAAUAAAUGAAUCUAAGAAAGAGGAGAUAAAGAAGCUCGGGAGUUCAAAAAUGUCGUGUUUGUGGCUCUGUGCAUACUAAUUUAGUUUUGUACUUGCAGGCUGGCAUAUCAAUUGUUCCUUGAUAUCGAUGCACAAAAACAAAGCUGUGGAAGUUUUUGAAGGACCUCGGGUAUUUUCUAUGAUCUUUACCUUCAAUGGCCAAAAUAUACUUUGAACGAAAUCAAAAGGGCUUAUUGAACUCUUACUUUGACAUUGUGCAGUAGAUAGUCCUAUGAUCAUAUGAAUUAAGGGUUGACGCGAAAGAAUCUCUUUGUUAUCACAGAUCUGGGGACAGAGACCGUGCUUUGUAAAUCGGAUGGACAUUGUUAGUUUUAGGGGCUUAAGAGGCAAGUUUUUCAAUUAUCAGGGACGGACGUUCAAACCUAGUUUGCUUCAGCAUGAAAACUUUGGCAAAUUAAACACGUCAAGCAAAAGCAGGAAUGCAGGAUUGUCAAAACUCCUCAUAGAAAAGAUGCAAAUUUCAUAUAAAUAAUUGUAGCAGUUCCGGAGCAGAUGAUCUGCAAUUCUAUUCUGUUUAUAAUACCUUUUGUAUUAAUCUGACACUUCGACCUGGCAUGAAUGUAAUACAAGAUAGAGAAAUGAGUUUUCUAUGCUGAAGGAAUUGGCAGCUUGAAAGCAAUGUUAUUUGAAUAUUUUCGGGGGUCCGAAAACGAAAAGGUUAUCUCUAUCUUGUUGUUUGAAAAGUUCCAUCGGAGGUUUAUCAACUUCAAGGGGGAAUGAUGGUGGAACUUUUCAUCUGGGGCAAGUAAUAGGAGCAACUGCCUUUCUUUGCAGUAUCUUGUGUAUAAAGAAUAGAAUAAUAGAUGGAAUAUAUUUUGAAAGUUAUUAGCGUGUAAUAUAGUACUACCAGAAAAGGUUGGCUAACUGAAUUAACUUUCUUUAUUAUAUAUCUAUUUUUCUGCCUA